UGAUGGCAUUUCCGCUAUUGUUGUUGUUUAGGUACCUACCAUUCUAUAAACAAAUAAAGGCUCUGCUCCACCAUCAAAGGAGGUGCACUCCAAAUUCCAGAGAGUGUAACAAAAUAGCCCUGGACUGAGGAGGGAAGAAGCUGGAAAGGACUCUAGAUUCUAAUUGGGAAAAGGAAGUUGAGAGGCUGUAAUGUGACCUGAAAGAAAAGCUGUUCCUGUGACACCUCCAGACCACAAAGGUUUAGACAAAGUUUUUGGAGUACUUAUGCGAACUCAAACUGUUGUGUGCAGCUUGCCAUUCCACAGAUUUUUGAAGCUGAUGGUUUGGGAGCUGGUUGCAAAUUGGGCAAAAGUGAGGAUUACCUAACGCGGGAUCCAUGGAUCAGGAGUUGUUGCUGACAUGGCCAAAUUACCUUUGGCGGUACAGUGCCUGUAUGAGCUGUUUGACAUAAAGAUGUUUAACAGAAAGCAACCAGAAGAGUUGGAGCUGAGAGGGCAAGGGGCCUGUCUGAUCAGGCACCGAUUGAUCACCAGAAGACUUCCCCCUUUGCGAGUGGUUGUGUGACAGAAGUUUGAUUCAUCAUCUGUGCUAUGCAGAUGG
rnacentral:lncRNA from 1 species